rnacentral:rRNA from 1 species
UACGAACCGUACAAACGUUAUUCGGAAUUACUGGGCUUAAAGGGUUUGUAGGCGGCCUUGUAAGUCAGGUGUGAAAUCCCUCGGCUCAACCGAGGAAUGGCGCUUGAUACUGCAAGGCUUGAGGGAGACAGGGGUAAGCGGAACUGAUGGUGGAGCGGUGAAAUGCGUUGAUAUCAUCAGGAACACCGGUGGCGAAAGCGGCUUACUGGGUCUCUUCUGACGCUGAGGAACGAAAGCUAGGGGAGCGAACGGG